UACGUAGGGGGCAAGCGUUGUCCGGAUUUAUUGGGCGUAAAGAGCGUGUAGGCGGCCUGACAGGUCUGCUGUGAAAACUCGAGGCUCAACCUCGAGAUGUCGGCGGAAACCGUCUGGCUAGAGUCCGGAAGAGGAGAGUGGAAUUCCCGGUGUAGUGGUGAAAUGCGUAGAUAUCGGGAGGAACACCAGUGGCGAAGGCGACUACCUGGCCUGUUCUUGACGCUGGAGGCGCGAAAGCUAGGGGAGCAAACGGG
rnacentral:rRNA from 1 species